GAUGAACGCUGGCGGCGUGCUUAACACAUGCAAGUCGAACGGUGAAGCCCAGCUUGCUGGGUGGAUCAGUGGCGAACGGGUGAGUAACACGUGAGCAAUCUGCCCCUGACUCUGGGAUAAGCGCUGGAAACGGUGUCUAAUACUGGAUAUGAGCUGCGACCGCAUGGUCAGUAGUUGGAAAGAUUUUUCGGUCAGGGAUGAGCUCGCGGCCUAUCAGCUUGUUGGUGAGGUAAUGGCUCACCAAGGCGUCGACGGGUAGCCGGCCUGAGAGGGUGACCGGCCACACUGGGACUGAGACACGGCCCAGACUCCUACGGGAGGCAGCAGUGGGGAAUUGUUCGCAAUGGGCGCAAGCCUGACGACGCAACGCCGCGUGGAGGACGAAGAUCUUCGGGUCGUAAAC
rnacentral:rRNA from 1 species